CGUACACUCCUACGGGAGGCAGCAGUGGGGAAUUUUGGACAAUGGGCGAAAGCCUGAUCCAGCCAUGCCGCGUGCAGGAUGAAGGCCUUCGGGUUGUAAACUGCUUUUGUACGGAACGAAACGGCCUUUUCUAAUAAAGAGGGCUAAUGACGGUACCGUAAGAAUAAGCACCGGCUAACUACGUGCCAGCAGCCGCGGUAAUACGUAGGGUGCAAGCGUUAAUCGGAAUUACUGGGCAUAAAGCGUGCGCAGGCGGUUAUGUAAGACAGUUGUGAAAUCCCCGGGCUCAACCUGGGAACUGCAUCUGUGACUGCAUAGCUAGAGUACGGUAGAGGGGGAUGGAAUUCCGCGUGUAGCAGUGAAAUGCGUAGAUAUGCGGAGGAACACCGAUGGCGAAGGCAAUCCCCUGGACCUGUACUGACGCUCAUGCACGAAAGCGUGGGGAGCAAACAGGAUUAGAAACCCCAGUAGUCCCAUGAU
rnacentral:rRNA from 1 species